rnacentral:rRNA from 1 species
GACGAACGCUGGCGGCGUGCUUAACACAUGCAAGUCGAACGCUGAAGCUCAGCUUUUGUUGGGUGGAUGAGUGGCGAACGGGUGAGUAACACGUGAGUAACCUGCCCCCUUCUUUGGGAUAACGCCCGGAAACGGGUGCUAAUACUGGAUAUUCACUGGUCUUCGCAUGGGGGUUGGUGGAAAGGGUUUUUCUGGUGGGGGAUGGGCUCGCGGCCUAUCAGCUUGUUGGUGGGGUGAUGGCCUACCAAGGCUUUGACGGGUAGCCGGCCUGAGAGGGUGCCCGGUCACAUUGGGACUGAGAUACGGCCCAGACUCCUGCGGGAGGCAGCAGUGGGGAAUAUUGCACAAUGGGCGCAAGCCUGAUGCAGCGACGCCGCGUGAGGGAUGGAGGCCUUCGGGUUGUGAACCUCUUUCGCUCAUGGUCAAGCCGCAACAAUGGUUGUGGUGAGGGUAGUGGGUAAAGAAGCGCCGGCUAACUACGUG